AGCCUGAACGCUGGCGGCGUGGCUAAGACAUGCAAGUCGUACGGGCGUAGCAAUACGUCAGUGGCGAACGGGUGAGUAAAGUAUCGCUAACGUACCCCUCAGUCUGGGAUAGCCGGGGGAAACUCCGGGUAAUACCAGGUGACAUUCUCUGCCUGCAUGGGCGGAGACUCAAAGGGAAACCGUUGAGGGAGCGGGCGAUAUCGUAUCAGCUAGUUGGUGAGGUAACGGCUCACCAAGGCGACGACGCGUAGCCGGGCUGAGAGGUCGGCCGGCCACAUUGGGACUGAGACACUGCCCAGACUCCUACGGGGGGCUGCAGUAACGAAUCUUCCGCAAUGCACGCAAGUGUGACGGAGCGACGCCGCGUGUGGGACGAAGUCCUCGGGAUGUAAACCACUGUCAGGGUAAGAAAGUUCUGAUCUACCCCAGAGGAAGGCACGGCUAACUCUGUGCCAGCAGCCGC
rnacentral:rRNA from 1 species